rnacentral:ribozyme from 1 species
CCUGAACAAGACUUGCACCUUUACGUGGUGUUCAGGAUGAGUAGCCUCAUGGUGAAACCAAGCAAGU